AAACCAUGCAUCAAGCAUUUACGCAACAAUUCUUUAAAUUGCUCUCAUGCUUCGUACAAGCUCUUGUCCUCCAAUUUCUUGAAAGAUGUGAUAUCAUUCCUCAGUUU